CUUUACAAGUUACCCUCCUCUUCUUUCUCAUGUUACCUUUUGCCAGGAUGGUUUGGAGGGAAUAAGAAAGCAGCUGUGAUGGUUGAGGCAGCUAGGCUGUUUAUAAGAAGCAAAAUAAGUGGAUGUUGUAUUGCUUUGCAAACAGCUAUAGUGAUAAUUGCCAAAUGUCUACACAAUAGAAGAACAUUGUUAUCUAAAGGGCUUCAGGACGUCUGAAACCAUAAUCAGUUGUGCUUUACUUUUCUCUAUAAGAAGCCAAUAUCAAAUUAAGGAUGUAUUGGAUUUGUGUGGCCAGAUUUUGGUAGCAUAGGAGCUACAGGGAUGGGUUCUGUGAGAAGUUGCUGAAGCUUCUUCCUCCACGUCCAGUGCAGCCAAUGCCAGCAGAUUCCAAGACAGAUGUGCUGCUGGCCAAGGUUGGGCCAAUUAGAAACGGUGGUAAUGCCUCUGUGUUAACAUAUUUAAGAAGAAGAAGAAAAGAAAAAAAAAAAAAAAAAGUGAUUGCAUGGUUGUAAUUGUGUCUAGAGAAGAACAGAGUGAGAAUAGGUGGGAGGAACACCUCUGCAGACACCAAGGUCAGUACAGGAGGGGGAGGAGGUGUUCCAGGCACCGGAGCUGGGAUUCCCUUGCAGUCUGUAGUGAAGACCAUGGUGAAGCAGCUGUGCCCCUGCAGCAUAUAGAGGAUGGUGGAGAUGCAGAGAUCCGCUUGCAGCCCAUGGCAGAGACUGAUGCCAGAGCAGAUGGAUGCCUGAGAGGAGGCUGUGAACCCAUGGGAGGUCUGUGCUGGGACAGGCUCCUGGCAGGGACUGCAGACACGUGGAGAGAGGAGCCCACGCUGGAGCAGGUUUCCUGAUCGACCAGUCUGUCCCUGAAGGACUGCACCACAUGGAAGAGUGAACCAUGUUGCAAUAAUUAAUGGAGUUAAUAGUUAAUUCAGGUUGGAGAAGUUCAUGGAGAAGUGUUUCCUGUGGGAGAAACCCCAUGGUGGAGGAGGGGAAGAGCUCCUUUCCCUGAGCAGCAACAGGAACAACAUGUGAUGAACUGACCAUAACCCCCAUUCCCUGUCUCUUUGUGCCACUGGAGACCUGGAGAAUUUAUUUCUCUCCUGUUGAAAAGAAGAUUUUAAUAACCAUAGCAACAGUAAAACCCGCUGUGGAUCUUACAGCAUGAAGUGUUGCUGAUCUCUACUUCUGGGGAUCAAGAUCCUUGUCCAAGCUCUGCCAGGUUGAUUCUGGAGAGAUCAGUGUAAAAACAAGUGAAGAGUUUCUGACAGAUAUCUUUUAACACAAUUUUCUUCUGUUCUUGUUUUCUCUGACUGUUCAUGCACUGGCUGUGGAUUUAUUUUUUUUUUUUUUUCAAUGACUUAUUUAAAAGAAAUCAGUGUGAAAUGUUUAAUUUUUAAUGUUGGGUAUUCAAAGCAAACCACACAAAUGCUUGAAGAAAUAUGUGUAUUUUGUGGAGAGUGAAAAAGUACAUCCAGCUAAUGUAAAACAGCUUGCCUGGCUUAAUUAGAUCCACUUCAGGGAGUUCAGUGGGAAUAUUACUCACCUGGUGAGGAAAAAAAAAAAAUCACAUGUAUGCUGAGGUUAGGGUUAUGCACUCUUUUAGCCUACAAGAAGCACAAAAUUUUUGGUAUAAUGUCAAUCUUUUUGACUGUGAGAUAAGUUGAAGUCUCCUCAUUUGCUUUGAGCCUGUAUCUGAACAGCCAGUGGGACUCAGGUGCCAUGUGGUAGCUUAAGUCUGAACUGACUCUGUAUAUUUAGGUUAUUAUUCUUAUUAUUUUAGCUCUCCAAACACCUUGUUUCAGUCUCACCCUCAUAGGUAAGGUCCGCAUUGAGUUACAGGCUUGCGCAUUCAAGUGAUGCCUAUUUCUUGUCUUGUGGCUUCAGCUGAGUUUCUCUGGUGUAAAAUGUACAUGACUGAAUUCAAGAAUUGUCAGUUGGUUGUGUUCUAGCAGAUUUUUCUUUUUUACUUUUAAAAUGUCUAAUUCUAUAUUCUGUAUAGACUGAAGUCUUGUGACAGGUGCUGCCUGCCUGCCCUCCAAAGCAGCAAUACCAUGUCAUCACAUUCCUUUGCCAGCACUCUGUUUUCUCAGGUAGUGUUGAGCAUAUAUAUGUGCAGCCUCUGCUUCUGGCCCCCUUGCCUUUGCUUGAUUCAGUACAUUGUCAGUGCAAGCUCAGGUCUGCCAGCAAAACCCUGGCAGAGGUGCCAGAGCAAGCGCUAAGAACUGAAAAUACAUAGCUACGAUUAUUAAUGUAUUAGAAACCAUCCCACUGGCAAAGAAAGCUUUCACAACAACAUUUCACCAAGUUGUUGAAAAGUCUUCUUGCUUGCCUGACUCCUGUAUAAACAAAAUAAAACAUACUAGCCCUGUGUGAAGGAUAGGUACUCCCUCUAGCAGGCUGUUGGUCAAGUGCUUCUGCACGCAGCAGUAGGGUGUUAGGUUAAAGCAUCCAAAUGGCCAGUACAGAUGGGUUUGGAUGUAGAAAAGGCACAUUGUGUGCCAUGAAAAGCGGAAUGGCGGUGUACAUUACAACAUGGAAGGACAUGCCUGACAGGACAAGAGGCAAUGGGCACAAACUGAAACACAGGAGGAAGUUCCAUCUGAACAUCAGGAAAUACUUUUUUACAGUAUGGUGAUGAAGCAUUGACAUGAGAAUGCACAGUCCUGGGGCAACCAGCUCUAAGUGGCCCUGCCUGAGCAGCAGUGGGGUUGAACCAAAUGACCUCUAGAGAUCCCUUCCCUUCCAACACAAGAUCCCCAUUCUGUGAUCUUGUGUUGCUAAACCCUUUGUGACCUGUAGUUGAUGACACUGUUAGUUAGGAGGAAAUCUGAGUCUGGCACGUGGCUUCUGGUAUCUGCAAGUCUGUAAUUUCCGUAGGAGGCAGAAACAAAACUCUUCCUUGCUAUAUUUCAACUUAAAAACCUCUUGGCCUCUCUGCAGCUGUCCCAGUAUAUAUGGGAAAAUAUAGAAAGGAAAUAUAUGAAUAUUUCCUUUACUGUGAUACUCUAAACCUCAUCAGAGGGCUUUAUAAAGUGUCUGGAGAUCUGCAGAUUACAGGCAUUAUGGGAGUCCCUGUUCUGUAUUAUGCUGUACCAAGAAUUUUCAUGCUAGUGAGACUGGUAUAUGGACAUUAACUUAGAGGUGGGAAAGCAUUUCUUUUCAGCUUGUGGCAUCCAUUUCCAAGUAAAACAAACAAACAAACAAGGUGCCAGUAUGACAGAGCAGAAAAGCUUGUUUUUUACAAAGCUUUAAAAAAUAUGCUCUGUUCCUACGCCGAGAUUUUUAAUUGAAGUUUUAUCUGCCCAAGUCUCCCAUAGGUUUUAAAAGGCAUAUCUAUGCUUGCCUAUACACUUGAUUAUGCUCCUAGACUUCAUCAGCUGGUACUGACGCCGAGAAGAGUGGCUGGGCGUCGAGCGCAUCCUCGGCUGUGUGCGGGCUGCGGCGCUGGGCGCGGGCUGCAGCCGCCGCCAGAGAGCACUGUCACUAUGCGUUUGCAGGGCAGCUGCGCUGCUGCGGCUUUCCCUUCGGGCUGGCAGCGGCAGGAAGGCUCUGAAUUCAAGGAGGCCCGGAGCAGGAGGACUCUGUGCCAUCUUUACCUCUGUUCUGCCCCGUGAAUCCACGCUGACAGGGGAUUCCAGGAGAGGAGCAGCUCUGCCUUGGCGAAGGGCAGCCGCCUGCUGGCACUGCCCUGUGUGCUGGGCUUGAACCCAGGGUGUACAGCCCCAAACCAGAGAGUUCUGAUAGCCCGCUGCCUCUUGUCUACAAGGUGUUUUUUACCCAAACUGACUUCAUUUAGACUUGAAAAAAAAAAAAAAAAAAAAAAAUCUUCCUUUGCUUGCUCAAAAUCUUGUUGCUUCUGUUUCAGACCUGAAGAAGGACUUGUGUGCUCCUAAUAACUUAUUUGUGUGUCUUUUGCCUUUAUUUUGCACACAAAUAUAGCCUCACUUGCAUUCUGCAGCAAAGCUACUGAUACUUCGAGUCCUUGAACAACUCAGGAGCACAGCACUACUGGGGUUUUCAGUGAUCAUUCAUGUGGUUUGCAUGCACCUUAUCUCCCUGAAACCAAUGCACCAUGCAAGCCUAAUAAUUACGUUGAAAUUGGAUGUGUCCUUUUUUAAGAAUAGCAAAGAACUCUGUAGAUGGUUCAGCUACCUGACCCUAAAGUAAACAUACUUGCAGGUGUGAAGACAGCAUUUAGUUCUCCUUCUGGGGAGGCUGCCAGACCAAAUCAUAUUCAGUAGUUAUCCCAACUACUGUGAGAUAUUCACUGCUAAAUGAAAGUAGUUAUAGGUCCCAAGAACAUUGCAUCAGAGCAUUGUUCUUUUGUCCCUUUUCUGAUUGAGUCUUUCUAGUUACAGACAGUGUCAAAGGGCUUUCUCCACUUCCUUAGGAGUGGCUAGCGAGGGGCCGCAGUGCCAGGAUUCCUCAGUUCUCCUCUCUGGGGUAAAAAUAUACAUGGGGAUGUGAUAGAGUGUUGAUCUGGCUCACUGUAUUCUCCUUUUUCUGCAUAAUUUGAGCCCUGUUUCUGAGCAACAGUGUCCCAGCUUCUCAAAGGAGUAACCUACUGCCUUGUGGAGCUGAGCUGCAGUCAAGGCUGUUGUUUCAGACCUGGUGCAUACUUGGAGAGCAUCUCUUUUAAUUUGGGUAGCAUAGUAGCACAACAGGAGAUGCAGUCCAUGUAGAUGGAGACACCCAAGAUAAAGUUAUCAGGGAAUAGC